GGCUUGGCGGGGUGGUCUGCCUCUGGUAUGUACUGGUCUCACUGAUUCCUCCUUCCUGAUGAACCUUAAUGCCAUUAAUUUGGUGUUUUGGGGAAUUUGGACUGUUACUUUGAAAAAAUUAGAGUGUUUAAAGCAAGCUAACGCUUGAAUACAUUAGCAUGGAAUAAUGAAAUAGGACGUUCGAUCCUAUUUUGUUGGUUUCUAGGAUUGACGUA
rnacentral:rRNA from 1 species